GACGAACGCUGGCGGCGUGCUUAACACAUGCAAGUCGAACGAAGUGGCGAACGGGUGAGUAAUACGUGGGUAACCUGCCCUCCUUUUUGGGAUAAGCCUUGGAAACCGGGUCUAAUACCCAAUAACGGGGGAUGGGCUAGCGGCCUAUCAGCUUGUUGGUGGGGUGAUGGCCUACCAAGGCGGUGACUGGUAGCCGGCCGGGGAGGGUGACCGGCCACAUUGUGAAUGAGACACGGACCAGACGCAUACGGGAGGCAGCAGUGGGGAAUAGUAGGCAAUGGGCGCAAGCCUGAACAAGCAACGCCGCGUGAAGGAAGACGGUCUUCGGAUUGUAAACUUCUUUGGACAGGGACGCGGUACCUGGAGAAUAAGCCACGGCUAACUACGUGCCAGCCGCCGCGGUAAUAC
rnacentral:rRNA from 1 species